rnacentral:rRNA from 1 species
UGACGAAAAAUAACAAUACAAGACUCACAUCCGAGGCCUUGUAAUUGGAAUGAGUACACUUUAAAUCCUUUAACAAGGACCAUUAGAGGGCAAGUCUGGUGCCAGCAGCCGCGGUAAUUCCAGCUCUAAUAGCGUAUAUUAAAGUUGUUGCGGUUAAAACGUUCGUAGUUGAACCUGUGUUCCGUUCGGGCAGUGCCUAGGGCCAUGCAAAUGGAACGGUACCAUGUCUUAUCUUCUUACAUUCCAUUUUAUGGUUUUAAGAAAAGAACGUGAACGUAUUAUCGGCGCGUUCAUUGGCCAUAUUGUAGCGUUUCGGCGUUAUGGUGUGUGUUUAAUGAUCGCAUAAGCCCAUUUCAGUGCUCUUAACCGAGUGUUGCUGUGGGCCGAUACAAAUUACUUUGAACAAAUUAGAGUGCUUAAAGCAGGCUUGUAAUGCCUGAAUAUUUUGUGCAUGGAAUAAUGGAAUAGGACAUCUGUUCUACUUUCAUUGGUUUUUUAGACCAAGAUGUAAUGAUUAAUGGAAGCCGUUGGGGGCAUUAGUAUUACAACGCGAGAGGUGAAAUUCUUAGACCGUUGUAAGACUGACUAAAGCGAAAGCAUUUGCCAAAGAUGUUUUCAUUUAAUCAAGAACGAAAGUUAGAGGUUCGAAGGCGAUCAGAUACCGCCCUAGUUCUAACCAUAAACGAUGCCAGCUAGCAAUUGAGUGUAGCUACUACUAUGGUUCUCUCAGACGCUUCGCGGGAAACCAAAGCUUUUGGGCUCCGGGGGAAGUAUGGUUGCAAAGCUGAAACUUAAAGGAAUUGACGGAAGGGCACCACCAGGAGUGGAUCCUGCGGCUUAAUUUGACUCAACACGGGACAUCUUACCAGGUCCGAACAUAAAUGAGUAAGACAGAUUGAUAGCUCUUUCUCGAAUCUAUGGGUGGUGGUGCAUGGCCG